rnacentral:rRNA from 1 species
UACGAGAGGCCCAAACGUUAUUCGGAAUUACUGGGCUUAAAGAGUUCGUAGGCGGCGCAGAAAGUAGGGUGUGAAAUCUCCACGCUCAACGUGGAGGCGCCACCUGAAACUGCCGUGACUAGAGUCCGGUAGGGGAGUGUGGAAUUCCCGGUGUAGCGGUGAAAUGCGCAGAUAUCGGGAGGAACACCAGUGGCGAAGGCGGAUCUCUGGGCCUUACCUGACGCUGAGGCGCGAAAGCUAGGGGAGCAAACAGG